CACGCCGUAAACGUUGGGAACUAGGUGUGGGUCUCAUUCCACGAGAUCCGUGCCGCAGCUAACGCAUUAAGUUCCCCGCCUGGGGAGUACGGCCGCAAGGCUAAAACUCAAAGGAAUUGA
rnacentral:rRNA from 1 species